rnacentral:rRNA from 1 species
AUCUACAGCCAUGUUACCCUGAACAAGCCUGAUCCUGUCUAAUCUUAAAAGCUAAGCAGGGGUGAGCCUGGUUAGUACUUGAAUGGGAGACCUCUUAGGAAGACCAGGUGCUAUAGGUG